rnacentral:rRNA from 1 species
GAAUCUUCCGCAAUGGGCGAAAGUCUGACGGAGCAACGCCGCGUGAGUGAAGAAGGUUUUCGGAUCGUAAAACUCUGUUGUCGGAGAAGAACAAGUAGGAGAGUAACUGUUCCUACCUUGACGGUACCCGACCAGAAAGCCACGACUACCUACGUGCCAGCAGCCGCGGUAAUACGUAGGUGGCAAGCGUUGUCCGGAUUUAUUGGGCGUAAAGCGAGCGCAGGUGGUUUCUUAAGUCUGAUGUGAAAGCCCACGGCUCAACCGUGGAAGGUCAUUGGAAACUGGGGAACUUGAAUGCAGAAGAGGAGAGUGGAAUUCCAUGUGUAGCGGUGAAAUGCGUAGAUAUAUGGAGGAACACCAGUGGCGAAGGCGACUCUCUGGUCUGUUAUUGACACUGAGGCUCGAAAGCGUGGGGAGCAAACA